rnacentral:lncRNA from 1 species
GUUGCAGAUUCCUGUGAAAGCAGGAAAACGUUUCUGAGUUGGAGUACUCGGAUUCUUCCCCGGGUUCUGUGUCUGACUAAUUCCAGCUGACAGAGCUACAGUGAGUCUGAGCAGAUAAGAAGCCCUCAGUCAGCACUCCUUGAAGGGAACAGAAAGGAUCCAGUGUCGGGUAGCUAGAUGGGCAACGAUAGGCUAAUGAUGCGGCAAACCACGCCAUGGUGGGGCUUUGUUGCCUUUUUGGUUUCUGUGUAAUACAACUAGAUUAAUCUGCCCGCCUUCUUCUGAAAUCCAAAUCGGAGAAGCAAGAGAAACUAGCGCAGCCCGGAGUCUGCUUCCUGGAGCCACCUUCCUGGCUGUUGCUUGAGGUUUGGUAGCUGGCGCUGCCUCACACAGAGAGGGCUAACUUGCCCUUACAUUUGGGGGAGGGGGAUGGUGGGUUAUCGGUCGGGCCUUUUGGUGGAAGAGCCAAGAGGAGUCUUACGUGAGCAAGUCUUCAGCCGAGAGUGAGUCACAGAGAGCAAAGGAACCAAUAAACGUGGUGAGAGGACUUGGUAAAGUCAAGAGGAGUGAAGAGGAGAGAUCUCGAUACCAAACAAAGCCAGCGGGGCAUGGAAUUUGUCAGUGUUCCCAUCAGUCUGUGGUAGUCAUAUUGUCAUGAUCCCCAUGCCAAGACCACCCCUCUCUUUUUACUCCUCUCUUUUUACUGUUAGGAGACACCUUGUCUUCCAGAGUUAAAGCCCGGCAAGCAAGCUGUGCCCUGAGCUUAGCACAACAACAAUCUUUUGCUUUCACCCACUGGAUGAACUCAGCCACAGGCAAAAUCCCAGAAUUGUUUCUGCCUCAGCCCCAAGUGAUCCCUGAGCUCGGACAAGCACCAUCAGGAGCCAUGUUCUGGUCGUGAAGCCCUGCUAUGAAUCAGAUGUCUCUCAUUCUUGCUGUUACCCCUCAUUGUUAGGGCUACACCUCCUUGUGUAGCUAUUGCUAUGUGUAUUAAGAUUUGGCCUCGUUAAAGUGCUCUCCCGGGGGAGGCUGUGGCACGUAUAUCUGGUUUCCCUCCUCCAAUGGAAUAAAGAAAGCUUUUUGCCUAUGACUGCUCUUGGC